AUUGUUUAUUGCAUAUUUUAAUGUUAAAAGUAAAGUUUAUUUAGUUAUUGAAUAUUAUUUCUUCAUAUCUUAGGUGAGGAAAUUUGCUUAAUGUCUAAUUCAAUCACUCAUUUUAUAGUAGGGUAACUACUAUAGAUUCCUGUCAUUAUUUAAAAAUUUGUGGGGGUUUUACCUUUUGCUUACCCUGAGUUGCUAUACUAUAAAGCCUUUCCUUAUCUCAUUUGGUCUGUUUUUCUGUGUAGCUUUACCAUUUAUGUGUAUGUGUGCAUUGCGUGCGCUGAUACCUUAAACUCUACCCAGUAACUCUCGCAAAGUUCAUGAGGACUUUUGUUUGUUUUUAUAGUGUAUUUUUUUCUGGAGAUAUAUAAUAUAUAUAUAUAUAUAUAUAUAUCACACAUAUAUAUCUGUUUUUACUUCGUCACUAUAUUUUCCUGUAUGUAAUUUAAUUUUUUAAAAAAAUUUUAUUUAUUCAUUUUACUUGUCUUGUCAAUGGACCUUUAUUUUUUAUUUAUAUGCGGUGCUGAGAAUCGAACCCAGUGUCUCACAUAUUCGAGGCAAGCACUCUACCACUGAGCCACAACUCCAACCCAUGUUAUUUAAUUUUUAACUUGAUUUUCUCUUUUUUUUUUCUCGAAGUUGUGCUCUCUUUUUAUUGAUCAUUUCCUUUUCUAAAAUUGACUAUUUGUUGUUUAUCUAAAAAGAAUGUGUUAUUGUAUCGUGUUUACUUACGUACAUGAUUUAAAACUCUUCCCUAUUGUUUACUUAGAAAACAAUUCAAAUCUAUUUCUUUAACCUUUGGUUGCUUGAACUAUUUAUCUUAGGAAGUAACCAUUUACUCUGUCAAAGAAGAAGAUGAAGUUUUCUUAAUAUUUAUUGAACUCUUGCUAAGAUUAAAAUUCUUUUUUCUUAUUGUACUGGGGAUUGAACUCAGAGGCACUUUAACCACUGCGCUAUAUCCUCAGCCCUUUAUUGUUUUGUUUUGAAACAGUCUAAGUUGCCAGGGCUGGCAUCUAACUUGCAAUCCUCCUAUUUCAGCCUCCUUAGUUGCUGGGGUUACAUUGUGUGCUGUUGUGCCUGGCCUAGAAUUAAAAUUCUGUAGUACUUCUUUUUAUACAAUGUUUCCAUUAUCAUUAAUUAUGUUAUCCAUUUUGUGACUGAACCAUGAACCAUAUUUAUUUUUGUAACACUGAAACUGUUAGAUAGUAGAUGCUCAAUAAACAUUUUAAAACUAUUUUUUAGUUGUUAAUGGAAUUUUAUUUACUUUUAUGCAGUUCUGAGAAUCGAACUCAGUGCCUCAGACAUGCUAGGCAAGUGCUUUACCACUGAGCCACAACACCAGCCCCAAUUUUUUUUUAAGUGUACACCAUUCCCUCCCCCACCCCCCAGCAUGCUGGGGAUCAAAUCUGGGGUCUCAUGCAUGCUAGGCAAGUACUCUACCACUGGGCUACACCCCCAAACCCUUAUUUUUUUCCUUUUAUUUUAUUUCUGGGGGUGGGGGGUGGGGGGCAGUGGUGUAAAGUUCUGGGAAUUGAACUCAGGGUUACUUUACCACUGAGCUACAUCCCUAGCUCUUUUUAAUUUCUAUUUUGAGAUGGUCUUACUAAGUUGACCAAGUUGGCCUCAAACUUAUUGAGUCUGGCCUGGAAUUUGCAAUACUCCUGCCUUAGCUUCCCAAGUCCACUGGGAUUUCAGUUGUGUGCCACUGCACCCAGUUCUUCAUUUCUUUCAGUGGAUUUAUGAGGAAGAAAUAAAGAAGAUUUUUUACAGGUAGGUAGGUAGUAGGUAAAUAAAGUCAGCCGAUCCAUUUGGAGUAAAGGAGGAAGAAAAUGGUGAUGUGUGCUCAGUCAGUGUCUUUAUUCAUAAUUUUUUCCCACUCUGACAUUGUUUGCAUCCUAUUUCUAUCCUAUUUCUUUCACUGUGG
rnacentral:lncRNA from 1 species